UCAUUACAGAGUUGCAAAACUCCCAACCAUUGUGAAUCUACCUCACCGUUGCCUCGGCGGGUGGCCCCUCCCCCUCACCCGGGGUUUGGCCGCACCGGCUCCCGGCUCCCGGGCCGCCGGCAAGCCCGCCAGAGGACCCGCAACUCUUAGUCAUCAUUGGCCUCUCUGAGUAACUUAUACAAUAAGUCAAAACUUUCAACAACGGAUCUCUUGGUUCUGGCAUCGAUGAAGAACGCAGCGAAAUGCGAUACGUAAUGUGAAUUGCAGAUUUCAGUGAAUCAUCGAAUCUUUGAACGCACAUUGCGCCCGCCAGUAUUCUGGCGGGCAUGCCUGUUCGGGCGUCAUUUCAACCAUCAAGCGCCCGCGCUUGUGUUGGAGCCCUGCGGCCGCCGCAGCCUCCCAAACCCAGUGGCGGGCUCGUCGUCGUACCGAGUGCAGUAAACAUACCACGCUCCGGGCACGCGACGGGUCACCGGCCGUCAAACCCCCCACAUCUCAAGGUUGACCUCGGAACAGGUAGGAAUACCCGCUGAACUUAAGCAUAUCAAAA
rnacentral:rRNA from 1 species